rnacentral:lncRNA from 1 species
GAUUCCGACCGCGCCCGCCCGGUGCUCCCCGCCCGGGUCGCGCUGCGACCGCGCCUCUGCUGCCCGGCAAAACCGGCCCCGCCGGGCCGCCCCCCGCCCUGUCAUUCCUCGCGGUCGCCGCCCCGCACGGCGCCCACUCCUCUUCACCGCUCUGGCCCCGCUCACGCACGGCCGUGUCCCUUGGCGCUCCGAACCGCCCUUCGCCCCUCCCCUCCGCUGACAGACCCAGCCCCGCUCGCUCCCGCUCCUUGCCCUUGCCACGCUCGGCAGCCACCGAGGCCGCCGCCCUCUCGCCUCAGCCGGCACCGGGCGGCAGCAGCGCCGCCCAGCUCAGCCCGGGGGCAGGGACAGAGCAGAGGGAAAAGCCGGGGCAGUUCUGUCACAAGAAGCAACAGUGCACGCCCAGAAAAAUAGCUCAAGGCAAGGUCACCUUUCAUACUGAAGCAUUCCGUGAAUAUGACCAGCAGAGACCCCUCUUAAUGAAUCUGCAGGACCAUCAAAAGACUUCCAGGAGGAGUGGAGGCAGCUGUAGUAAAACAGAAGGCAUCUACAGAGCCCUUUACUCACCUGGAAUUUAA